rnacentral:tRNA from 1 species
GGUCCGGUAGCUCAUUUGGUAGUGCACCCUGACCGGUAUUUGGGAGGUCCUAGGUUCAAUUCCUAGCCAGUUCA